rnacentral:lncRNA from 1 species
CCAGUAAAUGCACUCUUGGACAAUUAUCCCAGAGAAUAGAAACUUAUGUUUUAUCUUUACACAAAAACCUGUUUAUGAACAUUCAUAGCACCUUUAUUCAUAACAGCCCCAAACUGAAAACAACCAGAGGUCCUUCAGCGGGGAAAUGGUGAAACUAACUAUGGUACAUCCAACCUUAGAAUAAAACCCAGCAUAAAAAGGAACAACUUUUUGACACAUGCAAAAACUUGGAUGGCUAUCAAGGGAACUGGGCUGAAUUUUAAAAAAUCAAUCCCCAAAGGUUACAUAGGCUACAGCUUCAUUUAUAUAACAUUCUGGAAACAACAAAAAUAUAGCAAUAGAGAACAGGUUGCCAGGGGUGGGCUGGUGGGGGAGGAGCAAGAGGGAGAUAGGUGGGGUUAUUCGAAGGCAACCCAAGAGAUAGCGAGUGAUACACAAACCUUCACACGUGAUAAAAUAGCGUAGAAACACACACACACACGAAAAAGGAAAUAUAAAUAAGAUCUGGGAAUUAGACCAACGUCAAUAUCCUGACUCUGAUAUUGUACCAAGUUUUGCAAGAUGCCACCACUGGGAAACUGGGUAAAGAGCUCGUGAUAUCUCUGUUAUUUCUCACCAUUGCAUGUGAAUCUAUAACUACCUCAAAAUAAAGUGUUCAAUUAAAUUUUAAAUAUUAAAUGUAAUCUGGUAUUUUCAUACCAGCUACUUUAACCUUGGUGUAGGGAGAAAGAGUUCAGGUGUGAAGCCACAGAAAGAACAGUGUGGGAGCCUGGAAAAAGUUGAAAGCAGAGGACAAAAGCAAAGGCUGGAGUUAUUUCUGCGUGCGUGCGUGUGUGUGUGUGUGUGUGUGUGUGUGUGUGUGUGUGUGUGUGAAGGGAAGGUAUGACCAGGGGUUAUUUUGGGGUGCCAGGACAGGGUGGGGAGGGAUCUCUUAGCAGUGGAUAUGCCCUGUGUGCUAGUAAGGAGGCUUCUAGAUGCAAAGAAGGCAAACAGAUGGCAGCUCCUUAUGGAGCCCAAAUUCCAACCAUGAGGUUUUUUUAAGUUCAAUAACUCAAACAGACACCAUUAGAUAGAGUUAGAAUCACUCCAGCGCUGGAACCCAAUCUUUGUGUGUGUAAUGGCUCCAAACCGUAGAGAACAGUGGAUUAUCUUCAGGUGGCUAUGAAUGGGGCUGUUUUAGUCACCACAACUUCAACUGUGCUUCUGUUGGUUAUCAAACUGCAAUGGCCUUCAUCCCCUUAGACCUUGGGUGGGCUCCGUGGACCCUGAAGACUGGGUUUCCUCUGGACCUCACCCCAUCCCAGAGCCAGAUGGGCACAGAAGGGACAAACAACAGCACACUGACUGGUUGGAGCAGGGCUAGGAGUCCAAGAGGUUAGUGAGGAAAAACAAAACAACUUUAGGACUUUAGGUUCUGUUCAAGGCUGCAACCUUCAAUACUGAUUUCUUAAUAGCAAUGCACGGCCUCUACCUUACUGGUCCCUUAACCCCACUUUGGAAAGCAAGUUCUACUGCAUGUGUUUCCUAAUAGCUCUAGUUCUGAUUAUCUGUCAUCUUGGUUCAUUCGCUGUCCUUCCAGCACUCACUGUGGUCCUGUAUUUCAAAGGCACUUGAUGCCCUUUAUUUAGAUGUCUUAAUGAACCUCUAACCAGGCAUUUCAGCUUGAACAAUGAGAUCUAUUUUGUUCCCUUUCCAGAUGGCCCACCAGAGUAAAAUAGAUGGCUUGGGGUAAAUAUGGAAAAAAGAUGAGUUUUGGGGCCAGAUAUAUCUGUGCUUGCCAACUCUGUGAUUUCAUCAAGCUUGUCUCUGAAUCUGCAUGGCAAAAGGGUUAAAAGAACAGGCUUUAGGAUCGGAUCACUUGAUUUGAAUCCCAGGACCACCGCACACAGCCGAGGUGUCCUUGGAUCAAUUAGUGAAUAUCUUUAAACCUCUGUUUUUUCACCUGUCAAAGAGUUAUCUUCACAGCUAAUCAUCCUCCUUCCUUACUAAUAAACCCUUAGUUUUCAGCUGUGCACAUGGCCUUCUAAAUCAAGACUCUAUCUUUUCAACCUCCUCUGAGCUGGGUGUGGCCAUGUGGCCAUGUGACCAUGUUCUGAAACACCAUGUGCCGUUUCUGGGAAGUGUACUUAAAGGAAGGGUGUAUGCUCGUCUUCACCUCUUCCUUCAUCUUGUUUCCUGGAAUGCAGGAGCUAAGCAGUUAUCUCAGACUCUUAACAUGAAGGCCACACUCUAGGGCUGGCAGAGCUGAAAGCGAAAAGAAGCCGCUGUCUCUGAACAGUUCCAACUUUUACUUUUUUUUUUUUUUUUUUUUUUUUUUUUUUUGUCUUUUUGUCUUUUCUGGGGCUGCUCCCGAGGCAUAUGGAGGUUCCCAGAAAAGGCAAAAAAAAAAAAAAGAAAGAAAGAAAGAAAGAGAGAGAGACUAUUUUCCCAAACUUUGAAUCUGGGCUGGCCUUGUUAUUGGCCUUAACCAAUAGAAUGUGGCAGAUGUGUAAGUUGUGAAGCCUGGAUUCAAGAAAUCUUGCAGCUCCCGCUUUUGUCCUCAUGGGCCACUAUCCUGAGAGACUAUGACAUAAGGCAGUCAGCUGAGUCUACUGGAGGAUGAGAAGCCACGUGAAGAACCAAGGCACCCUGAGCCAACAGUGUGCACUAAUGGCCAUAAUGAUUAGUCCAAAUGUAUCCAAAAUUUGUCCUUACCCCUGUCCUAUCUCACAUGUGAAUCCAUCCUCUGUCUCUAUGUGUGAUGCCAGAGAUAAGCCCAUGUCUACUUUCCCAGUGAGGAUCUUCCUUGUUUAUUAAUACAGCUCCACCUUGUUAAGCUAAGGGUGUUCUGUGCAGAAGCCUGCCAAAUGCUUGUCUCAGUCCAUUCAGCUGCUAUAGCAAAAUGCUAUAGACUGGGUGGCAUAUAAACCACAGAAAUUCAUUUCUCACAGUUCUGGAGAGAAAAAGCCUGAGAUCAAGGUGCCAGCAUGAUCCAGGGAGGACUCCCUGCCAAGUCAGAUUUUUUGUAUUCUCACAUGGAAGAAAGGGCUAGGUUAUUACUCUGGGGCCUCUUUUAUUAAAAGGGCACUAAUCCUGGAGAAAACACUUAUGGUUGCCAAGGGGGAGGGGGAGGGAUUUGGAUGGCCUGGGAGCCUGGGGUUAGUAGAUGCAAACUACUGCACUUGGAGAGGAUAAGCAAUGAGAUCCUGCUGUAUAGCACAGGGAACUAUAUCUAGUCACUUGUGAUGGAACAGGAUGGAGGAUAAUGUGAGAAAAAGAAUGUGUAUAUAGGUAUGNNNNNNNNNNNNNNNNNNNNNNNNNNNNNNNNNNNNNNNNNNGAAUUGACAGAACAUUGCAGAUCAACCAAUAAAUUAAAAAACAGGGCACUAAUCCUAUUAUGAGGGCUCUGACCUUUUAACCUAAUCACCUCCCAAAGCCCCCCCCCCCUUCUAAUACAAUCAUACUGGGCUUUAGGAUUUAACAUAUGAAUUUCAAGAAAGGCAAACAUUCAGACCACAGCAAACCUAACUAGUGUCCGCCUGCACGCAGAGCCGGGCCUAUAGAGAUAACUAGAGGCUUUGGUGUGUAUUUUUUAAAAUAAAGAUGCAGAUAUUUAUCCAUAGUCACAUAUAUAGUACAUUAACAUAUCAAUGACGGGGAAGGUGACCAGGUUUUAAAUGAUCAUAUCUAUUUUUAAACCAGCAUUUUUUAUCAGCCAUUUAGAUUUCAGGGCACAUUUUACUUCUCAUUUCACUUGACACAUGAGAAAAUUGUUGCAAGCUAGUUGAGCUGUAAGGUGAACUUGACUAUGAUAAUGGGACACAGCUCAGCAAAGACAGCAAGGUCAGUUGACCAGCGUUCUGUUCUCAGAACAGAAGAUCAAUCUGGGCCUUUCUUCAGUUCUGAACUCUGGGGCAGGUCAUGGUAGCACCACAAGGCUCCCUCAACCAGCCAGGAAACAUUGGCCCAGACCUCCCCUGAGCUCAAGGCAAGAGGCUGCCAGUGUGGUCUUGGGUUGAUCCCUAAUGGCCACAUGGAUCUGUAACCGACUUUCUUGGUGAGUCAAAGAAAUUAUGUUACUAAGAACAUAAGCACCUGCCAGAAGCUGAGACGCUGUCCCUGGAGAUAGAAGUUCUUGUGAAAAUCAAGAAUAAAGGGAAUAGGAACAAGGGAAAAUGAGGCCAGCAAUAGAAAAUACGUGGAACUAGAAGACAGUUUCUUGUUUGAUCUGACUUCAGACUGGUUGUUUGGGGCCUUGGGGGAAAAAAAAUCACUCAGUGUUUGUUUUUGAACCUCGCUUCCUCCACUGUAAAAUCAGAGGUGCCCUUCCAACCUUGUGGGGGUUAUUAGAAGCUAAAAUGAGACCAUGUGUAAGAAAGGGUGUUAAGAGAAUGAAAGGCUUAGCAGUGAAACAAACAAGCCGACCUGCCUUUCUUUUCAGCCUCAGCGCAGAACAGACUCCAGGCUAUAGUCAGACCAGCUUUUCCCAUGCAAGUUGUUGUGGUUCCUGACGUGUUGAUACUUGUGCAGAGCUUAUGCAUUGUUUCAAAAGAAAGCUCCUUUUAUUGUGACAUUGUGAAAUCGUUGCCCUAGCAAACGAUUAUAGCUAAAAGCGUACGAUUCCUGAUCUGAACACCAAAAUUUCCCUAAGAGCGUGCCAAGGAGGGCUUAUUUCAAGGGACAGAUGAGCUCGAAGGAACAAAUGGGGUUGGGGCCAGAAAUGGAGAGAUUCUUGCUAGAAACAGAGUUGGAACCAAGCCCAAGAAGGCCUGAGAAAGAAGCCAGAGUGUCUCAAGAGGGAUGGUGGGUGGGGCUGCAGGAAGAGGGGGAAUACACUGAGAAGAGGCACAUCAGAGUUUUAAAGGGCUUGUGCAUCCAUCAUUUCACUGACUUCUCACAAGAACCCUACGUUGCAUGUAUCAUGUUGACCCUCAUGAACCUGCCAUACCAGCUCAGAGAGGUUAAGCAGCUUUCACAAGGCCACACAGUUAAGCAGCAGAGCGUGGCAGAGAAAUGAAGUGAGGUAGUUUGGGAAGUGAGCACAUUUGAACUUUUUCCCGCACAGCUUCUCCAGGCCUUUGCUUUUCACUGUCAUAUGUUGCUAAGGACCCACGCCAGCCUCAAGAGAGGAGUGAGUUGUAAAUGGCAUUUGAAGGUCUAGCAGGGCCAGAGUUUCAAUGGACAGGCACACACAUGCAAAAAAACCUGCCUUUAAAAAAAAAUCCUUAACUCCUCGUUUAUCACCAAACCAAACUCCGUUUGUGGGUCUCCUAGGGCUGCUCGGCCCCACCUGUGCUCCGGCUUCAGCAGCUGCUUCUAAUAAUCCUGGGUGAACACGGGGCCUCUGCCUGCUUUUCAGGUGCCUGAUGCCAGGACCAAUCUGGAUAAGUGAAAUGUGGGGCUCAGGAUCCAGCUUCCCCAGGGGACUGCUUGGAGGAGACAGGCCACACAGUCAGAGCUGUGGGGGCAUGAGCACGCCAUGGAGAGAACCGUGACCCAGGAAAGGCAGGAGAUAGAAAAGCGCCAGGAGAUCAAGUCCUUUU